GACGAACGCUGGCGGCGUGCCUAAUACAUGCAAGUCGAACGCUGAAGGAGGAGCUUGCUUCUCUGGAUGAGUUGCGAACGGGUGAGUAACGCGUAGGUAACCUGCCUGGUAGCGGGGGAUAACUAUUGGAAACGAUAGCUAAUACCGCAUAAUAGUAGAUGUCGCAUGACAUUUGCUUAAAAGGUGCAAUUGCAUCACUACCAGAUGGACCUGCGUUGUAUUAGCUAGUUGGUGAGGUAACGGCUCACCAAGGCAACGAUACAUAGCCGACCUGAGAGGGUGAUCGGCCACACUGGGACUGAGACACGGCCCAGACUCCUACGGGAGGCAGCAGUAGGGAAUCUUCGGCAAUGGACGGAGGUCUGACCGAGCAACGCCGCGUGAGUGAAGAAGGUUUUCGGAUCGUAAAGCUCUGUUGUAAGAGAAGAACGAGUGUGAGAGUGGAAAGUUCACACUGUGACGGUAUCUUACCAGAAAGGGACGGCUAACUACGUG
rnacentral:rRNA from 1 species